AGAGCUUUGCUGCAUAGCAGUUAAAGACGCGACUAUAAGGAAAGACGAAGUUUUAGUUUUAGUUGUCAAUUCAAGAUAUUUUUCGGUUGAUGAUCCUGAGUAAAAUCGGGAUCAUUCUUCUGAUAAAUAGGACAGUCUCAUAGCUCAGCUGGUUAGAGCGCUACACUGAUAAUGUAGAGGUCGGCAGUUCGAGUCUGCCUGAGACUACUACGUACUAAAAUGUGUGAAGUAUAUCCGCGAAGGCGGAUGUCUUUAAGACUAAAGUCACAGACUUGGUUUUAGAGGAAGUUCAUAAACAAAUAUUGAAGGAAAUUCUAGAAGCUAAGAAUUCUAAUUCUAGUAAAAUUCUGAAUUCUAAAUUCUGAAUUUAUCUGGGGGAUUAGCUCAGCUGGCUAGAGCGCCUGCCUUGCACGCAGGAGGUCAUCGGUUCGACUCCGAUAUUCUCCACCAUUUUAAUUUUGAAUUCAAAAUUUUGAAUUUAUAAUUGAAUACAGUUCAUUGACAUAUUGGGAAAUAAUAAGAAUACGAGAGAAACAAAUUUUAUAUAGUUAGUAAUAACUAAGUUAUAUUAUAGAUAGAACUCAUUAAUAAUACAAAGGCCAAGGUAGCAAUACCAAUGGUCCUUAUAAGAGCAAAAAGUACA
rnacentral:tRNA from 1 species